rnacentral:rRNA from 1 species
UACGGAGGGUGCAAGCGUUAUCCGGAUUCACUGGGUUUAAAGGGUGCGUAGGCGGCCUGUCAAGUCAAAGGUGAAAGCCCGCAGCUUAACUGUGGAAUUGCCUUUGAAACUGUCAGGCUUGAAUCUGGUUGAAGUGGCUGGAAUAUAUCAUGUAGCGGUGAAAUGCUUAGAUAUGAUGUAGAACACCGAUUGCGAAGGCAGGUCACUAAGCCAACAUUGACGCUGAGGCACGAAAGCGUGGGUAGCGAACAGG